GACCAGAUCGUCUCACCGCCAUCGCCCUGGUCCAGGCCCUGUACUACCGCCGCCACACUGGAUCGAUCCUGUCCGGUGGAUGAUACAAAAGCAAAUGAUAGGAAAGAAGGCAAUAUUUUGGGAGUGUAUGCAGUGGAAUGGAAAUGGUCAAACUCUUCGAAAGUACUCUCUCUUGCAAAUAUCACAGGUCCACCUUGAUUAUCCUAGCCUACCUGGACAGUUAGCUGAGCCCACGUUUACCUGGACAUAUAAUUCAGUUAGAAUGUCUACCUGGACAAUUUGUUUGGGAUGCUCUAUUUUAGUCCAGUGAUAGAGCUAGCUGAGAUUGCAAGUUAUGAGUUGCCCUUGCGAUUCUUCUGUUGGCUGCUCUUAGGUGAGGCCUUCAAGUCCCAAUUAUCUUUCUCAACAUAUUAAUUGAUAUGGUUCUUGCAAAUUGACAUUCUAAGGUGUUUACUAGGUGAAGCUUCGAGCUGUUGUAUUAGUAAAUUUGAAGGCUGUCAAAUUUAGCUACUCCGUAGAUCAAUCUGUCUGAAAUAUUACCAUAACUUAUAUAGAUGAGAUGUACAUACAUUUUAAGUUUUGAUACUGGAUUUUUUAUUUGAUGUGAAUAUUGUCUCCCUCUUUGAUUCUAAUCUGAGUUAAGUGUGAGAUGCAUUUGGUGAAAUUUAUUUAAUGGAAUUGCAACCGAGGCAAGAAUUGGGUAGCUGAAAAUUAUGCUAUAGACAGAACAACUGAAAACUAUGGUGUUUUUCCCGUGCUUGCCCAUUGCUUCAUUCUGGUGAUCCGUCCAGGUUUAGUUGUUUCUAGAUCCACGACAACUGCAUACUAUUUCCUAUUUCUACUUCAGUUUGGGUGGUCAUGCUAGAUAGAGCAGCGUUUGGGAAUGGGCAUCGUGAGCACUCUCCCUGGAGAACAAAAAAACAAGAGAACGGCUACCGCACUGUCUCCAUCCUCCACCAUGCUGCUUCACCACCAACGAAUGACGGAUCCGACCAAUGGGGCUCAGAUCAGGAGCUCUUCUAUCGGAUCUGCAGCGCCAGAAAAUGCCCCGAGGAUGAGGUAAUCAUUAGACGGCUCCUCCAUAUCUUUCCUAUUUCGUCCAAGGUUCUAAAUUUGGGCAAAGACAUGUGCACCUCAUCCGAGAGAUGGUAAACAUGAGGGAGCUAUUCUUAGAAUUAGUAGCAGUACGAUCAUGUCUUACUAGAAGGAGAGCUAUUCACCAAAUUCAUCUUUGUAUCUUGUUUCCUGUUAAGUGCAUAUCUAUUUUGUGUUUUUGUUUACUAUCAGCACGAAAUAAUCAGUUUGGAAGAUAAUUUUGUCAUAUAUAUUUCACUGAUACAUAGAGCAUGGCAAAAUUUCUUAUGAGGAAAGCACAUGAGGUCCUUAAAUAUUCUGAUUUAUGUGCAAUACUUACUACAGAAUUAGCAAUCAUUUACUUGAUGUGCCUAACUUAUAUUUGUUCUAACUGCACCUGAAAAUCUGAAGCUUACAGAAAAGGGUUUUAAUAUAAUUUUAGAAAGAAUUAUAUUUGUUUCGCCUUACCAUUAUGCUUCAGGCUUGAGAUGAAACAAUAACAUCAAGACGAGUUUUUAAUCAUGUGCUAUGAACUUCUCUAGCUGCAAUUUGUUUUUUCAGGUCUUGGGCUGCUCAAUGAAUAACAAUAAUAUCACACAAUUUCAAUUGUUACUACUUUCUUAUUCCCUCUGGUGUUGAAUUUUUUCCUGGGUGAUAUACAUAAAAUCUCUCUGCGGACCACGGGCGCCUAGAUGCACUCAAAAGCUCUCUCUCUCCCGGCAUCGCUUCCAGCUUGAAUUCCACUUCUGCACCCCUCUCUCUUCCAUCACUUGUUCCAUUCAUGAGCGCCCAGAUCUCAUGGAACAAAUCUGUCUUCAUCACCCCCACCAGCACUCACAACACUCUGAUAGUUGGUCUGACGAAAUCCACCAUUUUGUUUGUGAAGUGCAUGCUGAUUUGUGCGGGUUUAUGGUGUGCCUGACUGGCUGAUUCAGAGGCUUUGAGCGAUCACUUCAUCAAAUCUGGUGAGGAUUGUCUUCCAUGUUAUGCGUACUACGUUUCUUGAAAGAUUUACUGGUAGAAAUUUGCUCUCUUUAUUUAGUUAAUUGCAACAACAUAGCAUGAGAUUUUCCAAAAGUAAGGUCUACUUCUGUUAAUUGCAUAUGCCAAAACCUAUUCCUAUUGGCACUUAUUUCAGAAUCAGUUGUUUUUCCUCGUAUGUACGCAUUAUGCAGCUAUGGUUAAAGAGUGUUUAAUACUUCACACUGUGAGAUGCAACACGGCAAGUGUGACCUCGCAACCAAUGUUGUGCUGCACGACCAUGUGAGUGACCACCGUGCGGUCACUCCUCUUUACCACCUUCAACGCUGAUGGUGCCUCGCUUUGUUCCCUCCACCGCACUCUGGUGGAUUCACCACCACUAGGGAAAGUGCGGAGCUAUUUUUCCAAUGGGAAGAGAAGGAACCAACAACUAAUAUUUCUGGCUACUUCAUGGGAGGACGCACUGGAUGCUUGGCACGUGCCUGUUAUUUUCUUACUGUUGAUAACAUCUAGGGUAUGUUAAUUUGGUUCUCGGAAAUUACUAAUUCAAUACGGUUACUUUGUCUCAUAAGUGAAGUCUUCUGAUAUCAAUUA